AGAUCAGGAAAGACUACC
rnacentral:rRNA from 19 species